AAAUACCGCUGAAUUCUUAAAGCUUGAUUCUGUUAGUCAGGACAGCUUCAUUGAUCCUACAGGAAUUACGUAUAUUCCACAAUGCUCCAAAGGGGAGGAAAUCCAAAGCACAAAUUUUUAAAUGGCAUAUUUAUGAAAAACACCUAGAGGAGGGCAUGGUCUUGCUUAUACUGGUGUAAAAUCACUUUGCUGUACUUAGUGGAGCUACUCAGGAUUUAGAGGGGUACAGCAAAAUGCAAAAACUAAGCCAAAUUCUCCUUUCAAGCCACUGCUUUUCCCGAAACAGAUACUGAAAGGUCAGAACCAAUACCAAUCUCUGCUACUCCAGACUUCCAACCCACAGCCCUAUCUAUCAAAAAUCCCACGUAUCCACAAGUGCUCGGGAAGCGUAUGCACCAGGGAGAGUACAAAAUCAUUACACUGCUGUGAACAUGAGCCAUAUUCAGCAGAAAUCAGCAGCUGUUACGACUACAGAGCUUUUCACUGCUUUUAUAGUUUGGGUGGAGAAGAAACAGGAUUCAAGCACUGCUCAUAACACAAGUUGUAUAUUGCCUUGAUCUUUAUCCUCCUCCCCCUCCUCCACCCUCCCCUCUUCGCUCUUCAGGGCCACUCUUUAAACAGAAAGAAGUCAUUAGCCAAACUUCCCUCAUUUUAUGGCCCCGACAGUUAGGUAACGACGAAGCAGUUUUAUUAUUUCUACUUGAGAGCAUUCGAUCGGGAAUUCAGAGACUCUUCUAAGGGGAAGAUAUCUGCCGGGGAAGGGGGACAGGCCGGCAAAGGGAGAAAACCCAAAUGUGCCCGAGUGCGGCGGAUCAUCUCCAUCAUUCCCGGCGCCCAGCUGACAGACCUCGUCCCCCUCCCUGGCCAAACCCUUGGCUGCAGAAGAUGCGUCCCGAGAGCCCCGCCAGCCAGCUCCUUACGGGGGUGGUGAAGCCAUGCAAACCAGAAGUGCCCAGAAAGGUGUUUGCCCGGUGGAGAGGUCCCCAUAGGAAAUACUUUUCCUGCCAUGUGGUCUCCUGCUUCUCCACUUUGUGAAAUGACUGAGAGACCUGGAUGGAUCCACCAAAGCUUUGUAAGAGGCCACUAGAAACUUGCAGGCUCUUUGCCUCCACUGGACAUGCCACAAAGCUUACAACAACUGCCAGCUCCCUGCUCUUCUGGGAUUUCAUGCUCAUGUACUGAGAAUGAAUGCUGAGCCACAGCUCAUUGUUCAAGAUCCCAAACAUCUGUUUGUGGGAUAGAGAUUCUGUGUAUCCAUACAAAUUAUUCUAAAAGUGACUUCCAUGUGAGCACAUUGUGACUUUUGCUCAAGACGUGGAUGUUUUUCCCACCCGCUGCAUCAUUGGAGUAGCAGAAAGACUUCAAACUGUGAGUGGUCAAAUGCUCAUUCAUUUAAUAUGUUUUCAUAACUGGAGAGAAGACUUACCUUCCUGUGCAGACAAAAAAAAACUAUCAUUAUCUUUCCCAUACUCUGACUUUUGAACAUCUCUAUUACCUACCCUGGAAAAAUAUUUACUUUAUAUUUACUUUCAGGAUCAUGACGUGGCAGUGAAAUAAGGCCUGAAGAGUGGAUAUCUGCCUAUUCCACCUCUUGACAGUAGAAAAGGGGCUUUACUUGCUGAUUUGUACAUUGGGACAUUUGUAUGUCUGCUUGCUAGUCUGCUUUUCUACAGUGGUGGUGAACUGUUCUCUUUAAACAAGACAAUCAAGCCGUCAGAAGAACUACUUGCAUGUGACAUUUUAGGAAAGUGGAGCAGUAAAGUUUUCCUGUUUCAGGGAUUGUUUCAGGAGUGGUUUUUUCAGCUUGAUCAGUAACAAGUAUGCCUUAGUGCAGAAGUGGUUCCUCUCUUCUCAUAAGCCUAGCCUAAGUACAGUUUCCAAAGGCUUGGGUUGUUCUGGUAUCACAGUGGUUGCACGUGCAGCAGAGGCAGAUUCCUGUCCUGAGAAGGUUGCAGUAACUGGCCUGGUGCCUUGUGAGAGUUCAGAGGAACUCAUAGGUGUUCAGCUGAUGGGUCAGGUUUCUAGACUGGAAAACCAGUGACAUUUAAUAAAUGCCAAACAAGUAAUAUUCUUUUUGUGUGUCAGGUGCAAUUAGCACAACACUAAAAAUACUCAGCAAUAUUCCAAUUGUCACAUAGAGAAGCAAUGAUGCAGAGUAGAAGUUACUGGAUUUCAAUGCAAAAAAAAAAAAAAAGAAAUUUCUACUUAUAAAAACACAUAUUUUGCUUGAUGCAUUCCUCUUGCUCAAGUCCCAUUCCUGAGCAGACAGUCAGCAGUGUAAUUUUUUCCCUAUUUUCAUCUUCAGUAGACAGGAACACAUGUUUUGUAACUACGAAGAUCAAAUGGUAGAGUACUA